UACGGGGGGAGCAAGCGUUGUUCGGAUUUACUGGGCGUAAAGGGCGCGUAGGCGGUCAGCACAAGUCAGUUGUGAAAUCUCCGGGCUUAACUCGGGAAUUGCCAUUGAUACUGCCAGUCUUGAGUACGGUUGAAGUGGGCGGAAUGUUGCAUGUAGCGGUGAAAUACUUAGAUAUCGGGAGGAACACCAGUGGCGAAGGCGACUACCUGGCCUGUUCUUGACGCUGAGGCGCGAAAGCUAGGGGAGCAAACGGG
rnacentral:rRNA from 1 species